rnacentral:sRNA from 1 species
UCAUGGAGGAUUUGGGCUCUGCUAGCCCCUCUCUUCCAAGUUCAGUGCUCUCAUCCCAAGCUUGGAGUACACACACACACACACACACACACACACACACACACACCAUACUAUUUUUCACCCCUGCCUUUGUGCCUCUGCUGUUCUUGCUGACGUGUCCAGCUCCGGCCACCUCACCUGGGAAGCUCAGCUGAGCCCUGCCCAGAUAUACCUCCCCUCCCAGCCUUUCCCUCCCAGGGGAGCUGGUGCACACUCACUGCGCUGAUCACACCACAUUUCGUGAUGCUUCCUUUCCCUCCCCUUUCCCCAGCAGGCAAGUUCUUAAAGGCAAGGGUGUGUCUUGUGUGUCUAUAUCAGUCAGAGGCCUCUCCCUUCCUUUCUUCCCUGAACCAGCAGCCUCACCAGAGCAUUCUGUCUGACUAUCUGAUGGAGACACCUUCUGAGCUGAGACAGUGUGGCCAUAGUGGCUGUGUCCUCAGAGAUGAGGAGCCCCUCCUUCCCUUUCAUGUUGCUCUCUGGCCUUCCUGGACCUGGCUUCUCGCAGCUUUGUGUGCGUGUUUCUCAGGUGUCCAGGAAUCCCAUGCGAAGUGAAGGCUGCUUUGGUCUCCUCAAGUCUGUCCAGGACAAUCCAGCCUCUGCCCUGGAACUGCUGGAUUUCUCAGAUAUCCAGGUGAACGCAGAGUUUG